CUAAAAUAUUUGGUUGCAGGUGGC
rnacentral:siRNA from 1 species